GGAUAACACUCCUGUCCUCCUGGACGGGGGUUAAAAGCUCCGGCGGUGAAGGAUGAGCCCGCGGCCUAUCAGCUUGUUGGUGAGGUAAUGGCUCACCAAGGCGACGACGGGUAGCCGGCCUGAGAGGGCGACCGGCCACACUGGGACUGAGACACGGCCCAGACUCCUACGGGAGGCAGCAGUGGGGAAUAUUGCACAAUGGGCGAAAGCCUGAUGCAGCGACGCCGCGUGAGGGAUGACGGCCUUCGGGUUGUAAACCUCUUUCAGCAGGGAAGAAGCGAAAGUGACGGUACCUGCAGAAGAAGCGCCGGCUAACUACGUGCCAGCAGCCGCGGUAAUACGUAGGGCGCAAGCGUUGUCCGGAAUUAUUGGGCGUAAAGAGCUCGUAGGCGGCUUGUCACGUCGGGUGUGAAAGCCCGGGGCUUAACCCCGGGUCUGCAUUCGAUACGGGCUAGCUAGAGUGUGGUAGGGGAGAUCGGAAUUCCUGGUGUAGCGGUGAAAUGCGCAGAUAUCAGGAGGAACACCGGUGGCGAAGGCGGAUCUCUGGGCCAUUACUGACGCUGAGGAGCGAAAGCGUGGGGAGCGAACAGGAUUAGAUACCCUGGUAGUCCACGCCCGUAAACGGUGGGGAACUAGGUGUUGGCGACAUUCCACGUCGUCGGUGCCGCAGCUAACGCAUU
rnacentral:rRNA from 1 species